rnacentral:rRNA from 1 species
UACGUAGGGUGCGAGCGUUAAUCGGAAUUACUGGGCGUAAAGCGUGCGCAGGCGGUUCGUUAUGUCCGAUGUGAAAGCCCCGAGCUUAACUUGGGAAUGGCAUUGGAAACUGGCGGGCUGGAGUGCGGCAGAGGGGGGUGGAAUUCCACGUGUAGCGGUGAAAUGCGUAGAUAUCUGGAGGAACACCGGUGGCGAAGGCGGCAUCCUGGACCGGUAUUGACGCUGAUGCGCGAAAGCCAGGGGAGCAAACGGG